CACGUAAGUUGCGAGCGUUGUUCGGAAUUAUUGGGCGUAAAGGGUAUGUAGGCGGCCGUGAAAGCUUGGUGUGAAAGGCAGGGGCCCAACCCCUGGACUGCAUUGAGAACUGCACGGCUUGAAUUGCUGAAGGGCAGCCGGAAUUCCACGUGUAGGGGUGAAAUCUGUAGAUAUGUGGAAGAACACCGAUGGCGAAGGCAGGCUGCUGGCAGACGAUUGACGCUGAGGUACGAAAGUGCGGGUAGCGAAC
rnacentral:rRNA from 1 species